rnacentral:rRNA from 1 species
UACGUAGGGGGCAAGCGUUGUCCGGAUUUAUUGGGCGUAAAGCGCUCGCAGGUGGUUCGAUGCGUCGUGCGUGAAAGACCCCGGCUCAACUGGGGAGGGUCGUGCGAUACGGUCGAACUGGAGGCCAGUAGGGGGAUGCGGAAUUCCGGGUGUAGUGGUGGAAUGGCGUAGAGAGUCCGGAGGAACACCAGCGGCGAAGGCGGCAUCCUGGACUGGUCCUGACACUCAUGAGCGAAAGCGUGGGGAGCGAGUCCGG